rnacentral:lncRNA from 1 species
GGUACAGUCAGACUAUUUCCUUGCUGGGUCACUCAGGGUCAUGACAACAGAGAUGUCACACUCAGAUGAUUUGGGCAAGGAGAUGUUCAGAAGUAGAACAAUCACUGAGGUGAGGAGAGUUCAGUGAUCAAAGUCUACUGAAGUGUCAGACUGGUUCCAAGGGAAGCUGUUACUGUCCAUAGUCUGGAAAGAGCAGGAGUACAGAAUAUGAUGUUGCUGUAACUGAGAGAUAGCUUGGAACCAGAAAGGUGUGGCUGCUGUGAUCAUAGCAAUGGCCAUUAGACACAAACAGCAGAAUAGCAAAGCAAUUGUAGGGCCAGAAAUGCCCAGUCAUGUCCUCUUUUACUUCUCAUUUUCCUGGUGGACACUCUCAUUAACCAAAAUGAAAAUGAAAGACAAAGAAUAAGGAAGCCUCAGUGAUGCAACCCAUAAAAGGCAAUGUCUUAUUCUGUAUUCUGUGGCUAUAAUAAAAUACCUGAGUCUGGCUGCUUUAUAAAAAAAAGUUUACUUGGCUCACAGUUCUGGAGGUUUAAAUUCCAUGACUGGGUAACUAUUUGUUCAGCUUUCAUAACUCAUGGCAUCACAAUGGUGGGAGCCUGUGAAGAGGUGAUCAGAUGGUGGGGAGUGGCUAGCCUUGCUCUUUUUAUAAUAACUCGCUCUGGUGAGAACUUGUUCCAUGAGAAAAGCAUUAAUCCUUUCCAAGAGCAACACUCCCAAAUGACCUAAUUACCACUCACCAGGCCACACCUUUUAAAAGUUGCAUUACCCCUACCUGAACACUGUCACAGUGGGAACAAGCUUCUAGAAUGUGAACUUUCAGGAGACCAGCCACAUCUGUACAAUAGAAGAUAGAGUAGACUUAGUAGAUAGCACAGUGGAGAACAGCAGAUUAUGGAGCUGGUGAGUGGCAGUGGAAGCUGACAAUUUCAAUUUGUUCCAAAGCACCCCAUCCUCCUCCUGACAUCUAUUUUUAUCUACUCUGAAUCAUCUCCCUUGAGCAUCACCUGGAGUCUAAAAGGCUCCUUGGAAAUGAAAGGCACAAAAAUGAAUCUUCUUACCUAUCCCUGUGGUGACCUAAGGGUUCUGAGAUUGCUUUUUUCUGACAGAUUUUUGUAAGCAUGAUAAACACAUAUAUGGAGAAGAAGUAGAAAACUUUGAGAGCCAUUGGUGGACCAAUUGGUUUCCAGACAAAUUGUUCAUUGAAAUGACCUAACAGGUCCAUGACUGCAUUUCUUGGCAAGAUAAUAACAAAGCAGAAAGAAGAUUCAUUUUAAUAUAGCCACAAUAAAAGUAAGUACAUGUUAAUCAUUUCAGCAUUUCUUAGCAAGUUAGUGUUUGGGUAGUGAGACAAGAUCCAUGUUUAAUGACUGUCUUUAGUUCCAG